rnacentral:rRNA from 1 species
GACGAGCCUCACAAACGUUAUUCGGAAUUACUGGGCUUAAAGGGUGCGUAGGCGGCGCGGAAAGUUGGGUGUGAAAUCCCUCGGCUCAACCGAGGAACUGCGCCCAAAACUACCGUGCUCGAGGAAGAUAGAGGUGAGCGGAACUCACGGUGGAGCGGUGAAAUGCGUUGAUAUCGUGAGGAACACCCGUGGCGAAAGCGGCUCACUGGGUCUUUUCUGACGCUGAUGCACGAAAGCUAGGGUAGCAAACGGG